AUUGAACGCUGGCGGCAGGCUUAACACAUGCAAGUUGAACGAUGACUAACUAGCUUGCUAGUUAUGAUUAGUGGCGGACGGGUGAGUAACAUUUAGGAAUCUGCCUAGUAGUGGGGGAUAGCUCGGGGAAACUCGAAUUAAUACCGCAUACGACCUACGGGUGAAAGGGGGCGCAAGCUCUUGCUAUUAGAUGAGCCUAAAUCAGAUUAGCUAGUUGGUGGGGUAAAGGCCUACCAAGGCAACGAUCUGUAACUGGUCUGAGAGGAUGAUCAGUCACACCGGAACUGAGACACGGUCCGGACUCCUACGGGAGGCAGCAGUGGGGAAUAUUGGACAAUGGGGGCAACCCUGAUCCAGCCAUGCCGCGUGUGUGAAGAAGGCCUUUUGGUUGUAAAGCACUUUAAGCAGGGAGGAGAGGCUAAUGGUUAAUACCCAUUAGAUUAGACGUUACCUGCAGAAUAAGCACCGGCUAACUCUGUGCCAGCAGCCGCGGUAAUACAGAGGGUGCGAGCGUUAAUCGGAAUUACUGGGCGUAAAGCGAGUGUAGGUGGCUCAUUAAGUCACAUGUGAAAUCCCCGGGCUUAACCUGGGAACUGCAUGUGAUACUGGUGGUGCUAGAAUAUGUGAGAGGGAAGUAGAAUUCCAGGUGUAGCGGUGAAAUGCGUAGAGAUCUGGAGGAAUACCGAUGGCGAAGGCAGCUUCCUGGCAUAAUAUUGACACUGAGAUUCGAAAGCGUGGGUAGCAAACAGGAUUAGAUACCCUGGUAGUCCACGCCGUAAACGAUGUCUACUAGCCGUUGGGGUCCUUGAGACUUUAGUGGCGCAGUUAACGCGAUAAGUAGACCGCCUGGGGAGUACGGCCGCAAGGUUAAAACUCAAAUGAAUUGACGGGGGCCCGCACAAGCGGUGGAGCAUGUGGUUUAAUUCGAUGCAACGCGAAGAACCUUACCUGGUCUUGACAUAGUGAGAAUCCUGCAGAGAUGCGGGAGUGCCUUCGGGAAUUCACAUACAGGUGCUGCAUGGCUGUCGUCAGCUCGUGUCGUGAGAUGUUGGGUUAAGUCCCGCAACGAGCGCAACCCUCUUCCUUAUUUGCCAGCGGGUUAAGCCGGGAACUUUAAGGAUACUGCCAGUGACAAACUGGAGGAAGGCGGGGACGACGUCAAGUCAUCAUGGCCCUUACGACCAGGGCUACACACGUGCUACAAUGGUAGGUACAGAGGGUUGCUACACAGCGAUGUGAUGCUAAUCUCAAAAAGCCUAUCGUAGUCCGGAUUGGAGUCUGCAACUCGACUCCAUGAAGUCGGAAUCGCUAGUAAUCGCAGAUCAGAAUGCUGCGGUGAAUACGUUCCCGGGCCU
rnacentral:rRNA from 1 species